rnacentral:rRNA from 1 species
AGCAUGGGGGUUGCUUGCAAUCCCUGAUGGCGACCGGCGCACGGGUGAGUAACGCGUAUCCAACCUGCCCUUGUCCGCGGCACAGCCCGUCGAAAGGCGGAUUAAUGCCGCAUGCGGUCCGAAGACGGCAUCAGAUUCGGACGAAAGGUUUAGGCCGGAGAAGGAUGGGGAUGCGUCCGAUUAGCUUGACGGCGGGGUAACGGCCCACCGUGGCGACGAUCGGUAGCCGGACUGAGAGGUUGAACGGCCACAUUGGGACUGAGACACGGCCCAGACUCC